ACACUUCCUUAGCAGGGGAGAUACCAUGACCAUGAAGGUGGUUUUCUCAGGGCAAGGCUUACCCAUCAUACUCAGGAUGUGCUGAUCCCUGAGAUUUCCCCAAAUUCCCAGAACUUGACUGCAGAAUUUGUGGUAGUGGGGAACCAAGUUCACACUCUUUCCUG